AGAGUUUGAUCCUGGCUCAGGAUGAACGCCGGCGGUGUGCCUAAUACAUGCAAGUCGUACGCACUGGCCCAACUGAUUGAUGGUGCUUGCACCUGAUUGACGUUGGAUCACCAGUGAGUGGCGGACGGGUGAGUAACACGUAGGUAACCUGCCCCGGAGCGGGGGAUAACAUUUGGAAACAGAUGCUAAUACCGCAUAACAACAAAAGCCGCAUGGCUUUUGUUUGAAAGAUGGCUUUGGCUAUCACUCUGGGAUGGACCUGCGGUGCAUUAGCUAGUUGGUAAGGUAACGGCUUACCAAGGCGAUGAUGCAUAGCCGAGUUGAGAGACUGAUCGGCCACAAUGGAACUGAGACACGGUCCAUACUCCUACGGGAGGCAGCAGUAGGGAAUCUUCCACAAUGGGCGCAAGCCUGAUGGAGCAACACCGCGUGAGUGAAGAAGGGUUUCGGCUCGUAAAGCUCUGUUGUUGGAGAAGAACGUGCGUGAGAGUAACUGUUUACGCAGUGACGGUAUCCAACCAGAAAGUCACGGCUAACUACGUGCCAGCAGCCGCGGUAAUACGUAGGUGGCAAGCGUUAUCCGGAUUUAUUGGGCGUAAAGCGAGCGCAGGCGGUUGCUUAGGUCUGAUGUGAAAGCCUUCGGCUUAACCGAAGAAGUGCAUCGGAAACCGGGCGACUUGAGUGCAGAAGAGGACAGUGGAACUCCAUGUGUAGCGGUGGAAUGCGUAGAUAUAUGGAAGAACACCAGUGGCGAAGGCGGCUGUCUGGUCUGCAACUGACGCUGAGGCUCGAAAGCGUGGGGAGCAAACAGGAUUAGAUACCCUGGUAGUCCACGCCGUAAACGAUGAUCACUAGGUGUCGGUGGG
rnacentral:rRNA from 1 species